rnacentral:lncRNA from 1 species
AUGUUUUUGUCUGAUUUAGAGAAGGUGUUUUGAAGGCAGCAGUGUUUUUGUGUUGCAGUGGAGCUCCAGCUUCGUGGUGCCAAAAGCACUGGAUUCACUGGCGGUGCUUAUUUUCUGCGUUCCGUGUGGAAGCUCAACUUCGGGAACUGAUCAGGAAACUCAAACAGCAAAGUGAUUUCCCAAGAGAGACUUUUGAAGGCCCUAAACAUGAAGUACUACGAAGAUGUCUUUGUGCAGGCUACUUCAAAAAUGUUGCUCGAAGAUCUGUUGGCAGAACAUUUUGUACAAUGGAUGGGCGUGGAAGUCCAGUUCAUAUUCAUCCUUCCUCAGCACUUCAUGAACAGGAAACGAAACUUGAAUGGAUAAUUUUUCAUGAAGUAUUAGUUACCACCAAAGUCUAUGCAAGAAUUGUGUGUCCAAUCCGUUAUGAAUGGGUGAGAGACUUACUACCCAAGUUGCAUGAACUUAAUGCACAUGAUCUGAGCAGUGUGGCUAGACGUGAAAUGAGAGACGAUGCAAGAAGAAAAUGGACAAAUAAGGAAAAUGUGAAACAGCUAAAGGAUGGAAUAUCAAAAGAAGUUUUAAAGAAAAUGCAAAGAAGAAAUGAUGACAAAUCCAUAUCAGAUGCGCGGGCUCGUUUCCUUGAGAGAAAGCAACAGAGAAUCCAGGACCACAGUGACACAUUAAAGGAAACAGGCUAAGCAGUGGAUUGUCCAAUUCAGGAAGCAGGAAAGCAGCCAGGAAAUGUGCUUCUGUUUUGCCAGUUAUUUCAGACAGUACUAUCAAAAGGAAGUGGUCAGCAGCUGUUCAUAGCCUGUGAGCCGAAAGCAAAUAAAUCACGUCUCGUCAAUACUAACAAAUGACAUUUUGAAAGAAAAGAUUGGGUUGCAUAGUCAUAGUACAUGAAACCAAUGAAAGAUGAUACAAUAUUUUCCUCACUUCUGUUUUGCUGGCCUUAACUGGUAUCAAACAGUGUCACGAGAUAUUUUCAAAGAACACUGAAUUGUAUUUAAUCAGCGUGUAUUCCAUUUGCAUUGAAGCAUUAAAGAUUAUUUUCCUUAAAUCUCUUUAAGGCCUUCUUAUUGCUAUUAGAAUAGUGUUGUAUCAGGUAUGUGAGCAUUUCCUUCAGAAGGCUGAACGUACACAAGAGGUUUUUACUCAGCAAUACUUAGAUGUCUAACAGUUUAAUUGCUCCAGAGCUUUAUAGAUAUUUAAAGACUCAAUUAGUAAAUAAAAUUGCCUAUGGCAGGACUCUUUCUUAAAUUAAUCCUAAUCCUUAAAUUGAUUUUUUUGGGAUUAUACAAAUUCCUUUUUAUAUAAAAGUAUAUUGUUUAAAACAGUAGCUAUAGCCAUUAACCAAAGGACAGAUGUGUGUGUAUAUAAAUACAUCUGUGUGCGCAUGCAUGUGUGUUUGUGUGUGUAUCAUAUGUAUCAUACACAUACAUACAUACACAUUCACACAUAAAGUUCUUUUUAACUGUUCCUACAUACUUGUGUAUCAGCUCAUGUAUGUAGGUGUGACAGCAAUUUCAAGCAGCCCCUCCACCUGGCUUACUCUAUUGACUGCAGCUGCUUGGGCAGGACCAUUUAAACACCUAUUAUGUUAAUCCUGGGAUGAGAUUUUCAAAGCAGCCACACUUCACUAAUGUUUGAAAUGAAAACCUUGAGGCUAAUAUUAUACUCAGGCCACACUCAGCACUUGCCUACUCUUGUUUACUGCCUUGUAUUGUGGUUAUGUGUGUAUAUGUUUGUCUUUCUCAUUAGAUUAUACGCUCCUUGUGGGCAGGGUCUAUGUCUUUUUCACCUUUGUACCAUUCAUGGCACCUAGCAUAGUGCUUUGCACAUAGUAGUCACUCAGUGUUUGUUAAAUAAAGCUAUUAGUGUCAUUAAAACUCUAUAGACAGU